rnacentral:misc_RNA from 1 species
GAAAUGCGAUAAGUAAUGUGAAUUGCAGAAUUCAGUGAAUCAUCGAAUCUUUGAACGCACCUUGCGCUCCUUGGUAUUCCUUGGAGCAUGCCUGUUUGAGUAUCAUGAAAUCUUCAAAGUAAAUCUUUUGUUAACUCAAUUGGUUUCUACUUUGGUAUUGGAGGUCUUUGCAGCUUCACACCUGCUCCUCUUUGUUCAUUAGCUGGAUCUCAGUGUUAUGCUUGGUUCCACUCGGCGUGAUAAGUUAUCUAUCGCUGAGGACACUGUAAAAGGUGGCCAAGGUAAAUGCAGAUGAACCGCUUCUAAUAGUCCAUUUACUUGGACAAUACUUUUAUGAUCUGAUCUCAAAUCAGGUAGAACUACCCGCUGAACUUAAGC